GUCAAGGCUUGUGAGAACAGUGACCAGGAGGAGGAUAUACUAUAUACUGAACUAAUAGAUAACUAGCAAAUUCAUUGAUGAACUGUGAAUUGAUAAUCGUGAUAAACUUUAAGUGUGACUUCAAUAAAAGUAAGACAUAGAAAAUAACAUGAAUGGAUAUUGCUAUAAUCCGGAUAUAAGACACCAGUGAACAGAACCAAGGGAGAUCAAUAUCAUUUCACCAACUGUGAGACUGCUACUGGGCCGCGUCAAAGUAAUUAAGAUAUAUAUAUACGGAGUGUCCUCUGUACGUGGCACCAAGAUGGAAGCGACAGGGGACCCAGUAAUAACAGCGAAGGAGGCAAAGUUUACCCCCGUGGACUACACGGUGUUCGGUCUCAUGCUGGUGGUGUCCGUUGUCAUCGGGAUGAUCAGCGCCGUCAAGAGUCGGGGUAAAGUCUCCACACAGGAGUACCUGUUGGGAGGCAGGACCAUGUCUCCGGUACCUGUAGCCAUCUCUUUAUUUGGAGGAUGGAUCUCUGCCGUAUCUA